rnacentral:rRNA from 1 species
AUUGAACGCUGGCGGCAGGCCUAACACAUGCAAGUCGAGCGAGCGGCGGAGGGGUGCGUAAUGUCUGGGAAACCGUCUGAUAGCGGGGGAUAACUACUGGAAACGGUAGCUAAUACGGCACUCCAUCAGCUGUGCCAAGAGGGGAUUCGAUAGUUGGUGGGGUAACGGCCCACCUAGGCGACUAUCCCUAGCUGGGCUGAGAGGAUGACCGGCCACACAGGAACUGAGACACGGUCCAGACUCCUACGGGAGGCAGCAGUUGGGAAUAGUGCACAAUGGGCGCAAGCCUGAUGCAGCCAUGCCGCGUGUGUGAAGAAGGCCUUCGGGUUGUAAAGCACUUUCAUCGGGGAGGCGUUACCCGCAGAAGAAGCACCGGCUAACUCCGUGCCAGCAGCCGCGGUAAUUC